CUCUUAGAUGUUCUGGGCCGCACGCGUGCUACACUGAGUGGAUCAGCGGGUCAGGUUGCGCGAAAGCGUUUCCUAAUCUUUAAAUCCGCUCGUGAUGGGGAUUGACGGUUGCAAUUUUCUGUCAUGAACGAGGAAUACCUUGUAAGCGCGGGUCAUCAUCCCGCGCUGAAUACGUCCCUGCCCUUUGUACACACCGCCCGUCGCUCCUACCGAUUGAGUGGUCCGGUGAGGCUUUGGGAUCUGAGCGGAAAGAGCGUUUCGCCGUUUCUGCUCGGAAAACUCAGUCGAACCUUAUCAUUUAGAGGAAGGAGAAGUCGUAACA
rnacentral:rRNA from 1 species